UAAACAGCUUAGGCGACAAAGGAUCACCC
rnacentral:sRNA from 1 species